rnacentral:piRNA from 1 species
UGUUGAGUCGAAUCACAGAUGAAAGCC